AAAUUGGAUGAAGACAUGCAUCAAAAAAUUGCAAGAGAAAUGAACCUCUCUGAAACUGCUUUUAUCCGAAAACUGCACCCCACUGACAACUUUACACAAAGUUCCUGCUUUGGAUUGAGGUGGUUUACGCCGGCGAGUGAGGUUCCCCUCUGCGGCCACGCUACCCUGGCUUCCGCGGCUGUGCUGUUUGAGAAGAUAAGUAAUGUGAUUUUCUUUUAUGAACCUGUCACUGAGCAAAUAGCAAGUAUUUUUUAAAAUUCUCACGCUUUGUGAUGAAUCAAAGUCCCUGCUAUCAAGACAUUACAGAGUCUAUUCAUGUCAUUCAUGACGCUGAAACAAAUACAGCCCCCCGAAACUUUGGCCUUUCUGAUUAUGUGCCAGGCCUGUUGGAAAGCUCUGGUCGUUGCUCCCUAGAAUGCCAUUUUAUUUUGAACGGGAGCUCUCUGGUCUCUGACCAACACAGGAGGGGAGCUUGCAAUACACAAUAGGCGUCUCACAUGAUGUGGCAUCGGGGAACCAUAAGUCACAUUUUGCUCCAAAUAUGUCCCCACCCACACUGAGAUUCAUUUCACAAGAGCUGCUUCUUCUUCUUCUUCUUUUUUUUUUUAAAGUAAACUCUAUGCUCAACAUGGGGCUUGAACUCAAGACCCCAGGAUCAAGAGUCACAUGCUCUAUGGACUAAGCCAGCCAAAUGCCCCUCACAAGACCUUCUUUACUUUGAAGUUUAAAGAUUCAUGAGCCACGGCUAUCUACAUUUCCCUUGUGAAGAGAGGAUGCUGCACCUCAGUCCUACCAGUUUUCAUCUUCGCUACAUUUAGUAUAAUAAAGAUCAGGGCUCUGUGGCAAUGAGCCAGGCAGAGGAGAGAUGCCCAGAAAUGCCCUAAAAGUGGAGAUGGAAGCAGCCAUGAAUAGGUGUAGACAACAAACAGAAAGUUAAGCAAGGAAAUAUACAGGAUGAUACGACAGAGUGUAAGAGUAAAACGUGAAUAACACUCUAACCUUUGUCACUCUGAGUGGGGAACUGAAGGCCAGAAGAGCAGAGGACAGUAUUAUCCUGGAUCUACCUCUUUAUCCUGCCCACCCCCAGGACUUCCAUGAAGUGGAGGACUUGAUAAAGACUGCCAUAGGUGAUACCCUAGUCCAAGACAUCCGCUAUUCUCCAGAUACCCGAAAGCUCCUUGUCCAGCUCAGUGAUACUUACAAGAGGUCAUUCCUGGAGAACCUGAAGGUGAACACACAGGAUCUGCCGCAAGUGGAAAACACAGGGAAGGUGAAAGGACUCAUUCUCACCCUUAAAGGAGAGCCUGGAGGGCAGACCCAAGCAUUUGAUUUUUACUCCAGAUAUUUUGCACCGUGGGUUGGUGUGGCUGAAGACCCUGUAACAGGGUCUGCACAUGCUGUUCUCAGCAGCUACUGGUCCCAGCAACUGGGGAAGAAAGACAUGCAUGCCUUUCAGUGUUCCCACCGAGGAGGAGAGCUGGAGAUUUCUCUGCGUCCUGAUGGGCGGGUUGAUAUCAGGGGCAGCACUGCUGUUGUUCUAGAGGGCACGCUGACAGCCUAGAGGUGGCUGUGGUUCAAGGCUGAGAUUUUGAAUGACUAAGUGUUUUCUGCACAAAAAGAAAUGGAAGCGGCUGCCUUUACCAAACUUGCACAGCAGUUCACUUCAUCCCCACGAUAGAAAUAGAAAAAUGAAGACAUAUUAAUGGAAAUUUCAUCAUGCUUCCUGACUAAUUAAUUUAUGGAGUUUUGGCUUUGCCCGCGAAUGUAUUUGACAUAGAAGUAACCAGUAACAAAGAAUGAGGUUGUCACCUUCAAUUAUGACUACCAAUCACAGAAUGAGGAGUACAUUUAUGAGGAGUAAGAUCAAACCAUUUAAACUUAGGUGUGAGUAUCUGAUAGACUAUUUUGUAGCCGUUAAAAAGACGCAAUAACUAUGUGGAAAUAUUGAAAAGUAUCUCAUGACACAAUACUAAGAAAGGGAAUUACAGUGGACUACAAAAUGUUAGCAAUGUUAUGUUUAUAUCUAUGGACAAUAUGAAUAUAUAUGGACAAAGAUGGGUCAUGAAGAUAGAAAGGUGACAACUGUUCAUGUGUGUGUGUGUGGGGGGGGUAAGAUUGGGAGUCAUUUUAAGGCACCUAAAAAAUUAUUUCCCUUACUGGAACACACUCAUGUUCAAUAACUAAAAAAUCAGGACAUAUAACAGAAUAACCCAAAAACCCAGAUAUUUCAAAAAAUGUAUAUGUAUUACUGUGGUGAUAAAAUUAAACUCUAAAAGCAAUAUAAUAUCUUUAUCUUGAUGUAUAGUUUUAGAGUGUAACUUAAAAAGCAUUCUUC